ACCCCAUUUCUUCAUUCCCCCUCUAUCAAAAACCCCCAAAUCGCUGCUCCCUUGCCGCCGCCCUCCCUAACCCUAACCCUAACGCCAGCCAUGUUGCGCCUCUCUUCAUCACUCCUCCCCGUGCUCGCUCCGCCGCCGCCCUCUCGCGGUCCUACGGCCUGAUCCCGAUGGUGAUCGCGCACACCUCCCAGAGCGAGAGCGCCUACGACAUCUUCGCCCAACUCCUGAAGGAGCGCGUGGUCUGCAUCAACGUCCCCAUCUUUGACGACACGACCGCCAUCGUCGUGGCCCAGCUCCUCUUCCUCGAGUCGGAGAACCCUCCAAGCCCCUCUUCAUAAUAGCGCUUGAUUUCCUUUGAACCAUAACCCUAAUUCCCUAUGAAGAAAUUCCCAAUUUCUUCCAGGUUACCUCAAAACCCAUACCCUAACUACUGAAAUCCCUAGAUAUCAACAAAAACCCCAUCAGAAACAAAACCCUAGUGCUGUUAUCUGUUCCGACCUCGUCGGCGCCGGAGAUUAUUAAGAUGGGAAGAAAGAUCGGAUUGAACCGCGAGAUCCUGAUCAAAGUCACCCAAACCCCUGAUGGUGUGCUUAUUUAUGGAGAGCUAAGUGGGUCAGCGAGACGAGAGCUUAUGAUUUGAAAGAUGGAAGCAUUCUGUUCCGUGAGCUCAGGGAUUUCUUGCUACGCCGUAAACUUUUGUGUUGGAGGAGAUGUAUAUGCAUUUUGGUUCUCAAUUUUGCGAAGAGCUGCAGCGACAAUAUUUUCCUUCAUCAAUGGUAAAACCUCAAGGACCACCGAGAUAAGGAUCACUUUCCUUCAUGAUGCUGACUGAAAGGAGAUUGGAUAGAUCCAUUAAGGAUGUCUGAGUUAGAGUGACAAGUGAAAGUUAUGCAAGAAUUUUUUUUAGGCAAUCACCUUCAUUGACUCCUCAAACUCGAGAACAUGUGCAAGACUAGGCUAUCCAUGCAAGAUUAG